UCAGAUUGAACGCUGGCGGCAGGCCUAACACAUGCAAGUCGAGCGGUAACAUUUCUAAGCUUGCUUAGAAGAUGACGAGCGGCGGACGGGUGAGUAAUGCUUGGGGAUCUGCCUGAUGGCGGGGGACAACCACUGGAAACGGUGGCUAAUACCGCAUAAUACCUAUGGGUCAAAGUGUGGGACCUUCGGGCCACACGCCAUCAGAUGAACCCAAGUGAGAUUAGCUGGUUGGUAAGGUAACGGCUUACCAAGGCGACGAUCUCUAGCUGGUCUGAGAGGAUGAUCAGCCACACUGGGACUGAGACACGGCCCAGACUCCUACGGGAGGCAGCAGUGGGGAAUAUUGGACAAUGGGGGCAACCCUGAUCCAGCCAUGCCGCGUGUGUGAAGAAGGCCUUCGGGUUGUAAAGCACUUUCAGUGGUGAGGAAGGUGGUGUCGUUAAUAGCGGCAUCAAUUGACGUUAGCCACAGAAGAAGCACCGGCUAACUCCGUGCCAGCAGCCGCGGUAAUACGGAGGGUGCGAGCGUUAAUCGGAAUUACUGGGCGUAAAGCGCACGUAGGCGGUAUGUUAAGCAAGAUGUGAAAGCCCAGAGCUCAACUCUGGAAUAGCAUUUUGAACUGGCAUGCUAGAGUUUUGGAGA
rnacentral:rRNA from 1 species